GCAUUGUUGGUCCAGCGGUAGGAUAUUUGCCUUCCAAGCAAAUGGCUCGGGUUCGACUCCCGGACAAUGCA